GAGAUUUGGCAGUGCUCGCAAGAGAACCGGAACACAGGUGCUGCAUGGCUGUCGUCAGCUCGUGUCGUGAGAUGUUGGGUUACAAGUCCCGCAACAGGCGCAACCCUUGUCAUUAGUUGCUACGAGGCACUCUAAUGAGACUGCAGUGACAAACCGGAGGAAGGUGGGGAUGACGUCAAGUCCUCAUGGCCCUUAUGGUGGGGCUUCACACGUCGCCAUGGUCGGGACAGAGGGUCGCCAGCCCCGCGAGGCUAUCCAGAAACCCGAUCGUAGUCCGGAUCGCAGUCUGCAACUCGACUGCGUGAAGUCGGAAUCGCUGGUAAUCGCGGAUCAGCAUGUCGCGGUGAAUACGUUCCCGGGUCUUGUACACACCGCCCGUCACACCAUGGGAGUGGGUUUUACCAAGUAGUUAGCCUAACCGCAAGGGGGGCGAUUACCACGGUAGGAUUCAUGACUGGGGUGAAGUCGUAACAAAGAUAA
rnacentral:misc_RNA from 1 species